UACGAAGGGUGCAAGCGUUGUUCGGAAUUACUGGCGUAAGCGCGCGUAGGCGGGUCUGUGUGUCGAUUGUGAAAGCCCUGGGCUUAACCUGGGAAUGGCAGUCGAAACUGCAGAUCUUGAAUGUCUGAGAGGAUGGCGGAAUUCCCGGUGUAGUAGUGAAAUACGUAGAUAUCGGGAAGAACACCUGAGGCGAAGGCGGCUAUCUGGCGGUACAUUGACGCUGAUGCGCGAAAGCGUGGGAGCAAACAGGG
rnacentral:rRNA from 1 species